GUCCCUUUUGAGGUAUCUGAUAAAACUAGAACGAUACAAAAAAGAUUAACAUGACCCUGUACAAGAAUGACACGCGCAAAUUCAACAAUUCUCAUGUUUCU
rnacentral:snRNA from 2 species